AGUGAACGCUGGCGGUAGGCCUAACACAUGCAAGUCGAACGGCAGCACAGUAAGAGCUUGCUCUUACGGGUGGCGAGUGGCGGACGGGUGAGGAAUACAUCGGAAUCUACUUUUUCGUGGGGGAUAACGUAGGGAAACUUACGCUAAUACCGCAUACGACCUACGGGUGAAAGCAGGGGAUCUCCGGACCUUGCGCGAUUGAAUGAGCCGAUGCCGGAUUAGCUAGUUGGCGGGGUAAAGGCCCACCAAGGCGACGAUCCGUAGCUGGUCUGAGAGGAUGAUCAGCCACACUGGAACUGAGACACGGUCCAGACUCCUACGGGAGGCAGCAGUGGGGAAUAUUGGACAAUGGGCGCAAGCCUGAUCCAGCCAUACCGCGUGGGUGAAGAAGGCCUUCGGGUUGUAAAGCCCUUUUGUUGGGAAAGAAAAGCAGCAGGUUAAUACCCCGCUGUUCUGACGGUACCCAAAGAAUAAGCACCGGCUAACUUCGUG
rnacentral:rRNA from 1 species